AGAGUUUGAUUCUGGCUCAGGAUGAACGCUGGCGGCGUGCUUAACACAUGCAAGUCGAACGGAGUUAUUUGGAAGCUUGCUUUGAAUAACUUAGUGGCGGACGGGUGAGUAACGCGUGGGUAACCUGCCUUAUACCGGGGGACAACAGUUGGAAACGACUGCUAAUACCGCAUAAGCGCACAAGAAGGCAUCUUCUAGUGUGAAAAAACUCCGGUGGUAUAAGAUGGACCCGCGUCUGAUUAGCCAGUUGGCGGUGUAACGGACCACCAAAGCGACGAUCAGUAGCCGGCCUGAGAGGGCAAACGGCCACAUUGGGACUGAGACACGGCCCAGACUCCUACGGGAGGCAGCAGUGGGGAAUAUUGCACAAUGGAGGAAACUCUGAUGCAGCGACGCCGCGUGAGUGAGGAAGUAUCCCGGUAUGUAAAGCUCUAUCAGCAGGAAAGAAAAUGACGGUACCUGACUAAGAAGCCCCGGCUAACUACGUGCCAGCCGCCGC
rnacentral:rRNA from 1 species